ensembl:snRNA U6 U6 spliceosomal RNA
CUGCUCACUUCAGCAGCACAUUUACUAAAAAAAUUGGAACGAUACAUAGAAAUUAGCAUGUCCCCUGUGCAAGGAUGACACGCAAAAUUCGUGAAGCGUUCCGUAUUUUU